UACGUAGGGGCCGAGCGUUGUCCGGAUUCAUUGGGCGUAAAGAGCGUGUAGGCGGUCCGGUAAGUCCGCUGUGAAAGUCGGGGGCUCAACCCUCGAAUGCCGGUGGAUACUGUCGGGCUAGAGUGCGGAAGAGGCGAGUGGAAUUCCUGGUGUAGCGGUGAAAUGCGCAGAUAUCAGGAGGAACACCUAUUGCGAAGGCAGCUCGCUGGGACGUAACUGACGCUGAGACGCGAAAGCGUGGGGAGCAAACAGG
rnacentral:rRNA from 1 species